GAGCUGUGGCGCCUGGAGUACAACACAGCCAAAGAAAGAUACAUUGUUGGAUAAACAGCUUCUCCUGAGCACUUCCCUUAUCUACAAGACUGCUUCGCAGCAAACUGGCUAGUUCAAUGAAAAAUGAAGAUACAGCAGGAGAUUAGAGAAGAACAGUGAGCAAAAAAUUCCUGGAGAGAGGGUCACUUCAUUGCAAAUGAUUUCACUUCUCUAGAUCUGCAUAAAUUACUAUUUUUAAGGCA